GGCCGACUGGCCUAAUGGUUAAGGCGUCAGUUUCCGGUGUGGAAUCAGCUGAAGAUUCUGGGUUCGACUCCCAGGUUGGUCG